rnacentral:rRNA from 1 species
CACGGGGGGAGCAAGCGUUGUUCGGAAUCACUGGGCGUAAAGGGCGUGUAGGCGGUCAAGUAAGUGGAAUGUGAAAGCCCCCGGCUUACCCGGGGAUCUGCAUCCCAAACUGCUUGGCUUGAGUACGGGAGAGGAUAGGGGAAUUCCUGGUGUAGCGGUGAAAUGCGUAGAUAUCGGGAGGAACACCUGUGGCGAAAGCGGCGCACUGGACCACAACUGACGCUGAGGCGCGAAAGCUAGGGGAGCAAACAGG